UGGGGAAUUUUGGACAAUGGGCGCAAGCCUGAUCCAGCCAUGCCGCGUGAGUGAAGAAGGCCUUCGGGUUGUAAAGCUCUUUCGGUGGGGACGAAACGGUUCGUGACAACACCACGGACUAAUGACGGUACCCGCAUAAGAAGCACCGGCUAACUACGUGCCAGCAGCCGCGGUAAUACGUAGGGUGCAGGCGUUAAUCGGAAUUACUGGGCGUAAAGGGUGCGCAGGCGGUUUGUUAAGACAGGUGUGAAAUCCCCGGGCUUAACCUGGGAAUUGCGCUUGUAACUGGCAGGCUAGAGUGUGGCAGAGGGGGGUGGAAUUCCACGUGUAGCAGUGAAAUGCGUAGAUAUGUGGAGGAACACCGAUGGCGAAGGCAGCCCCCUGGGUUAACACUGACGCUCAUGCACGAAAGCGUGGGGAGCAAACAGGAUUAGAUACCCUGGUAGUCCACGCCCUAAACGAUGUCAACUAGUUGUCGGGGAAGCAAUUCCUUGGUAACGAAGCUAACGCGUGAAGUUGACCGCCUGGGGAGUACGGCCGCAAGGUUA
rnacentral:rRNA from 1 species